CAGGAUCACUGAGCCACUCAAACUCCUCCACCACGAUAAGGUGGCGAUUCGCGGAGGAUUUCAUUAUCAAUGUACCAAAUGUCAAUAUGGGUAUUGAACUGAAAAUGUCAAAUCUGACUCUGCCUGUAGAGAAACUAUUAAAAUGUACAAUAUUUUCCUCUAAAAUGAAGUGGAGUUGAAGUGGCAUGUAAUGGAAAUACCAAAGUAAAGUAGCUCAGAGUUGUACAUAAAUCCUCUUCUUUGGUAAAUGUAAUUGGUUAUUUUCCACCUCAAUUUUUUUGACACUACCGCUGGGGCCCAAUAUUUACCGUUACACGGCCAAACAGCAUGCCGAGUACAGUUUGCUCUUCGUCACUAGCUAUAAUAUUAACUGUUACACCGGGAAACCGCAUGCUGGGUACAACUCGAUCCCUGCCAUUGUUAGUGAGAGCUUUUGAACCCAAAUGACUGCGUCAUCAAUGCUUAUACUCUAGCAUUGCUAGGGGGUGCUACUAUGUCAUGACAGGUGUACUGCUCAUUACCAAGGAAGCGCAGCGCAGUGUCAAGUUGCAAUCAUCCCGGAAAGUUUUGAACGUGCACUGAACUAGUACCAUUUAAACACGGAGAAGUGAAAUCCAGGACAAAACACAACAGAGACUCAAAAGCAACAAAUCCAACCAGCUUGAUCCAUUCUCUCUCUCUCUCUCUCUCUCUCUGACUCUCUCUCUCACUCAGUGACCAUGAGUUGCUGUAAGAAGAAAAGUAAUCCAACGGAAGCUCUUCAGAUGCUCUCCUCCACCCGCCUCAGCCUCAAGAGUCUGGCCACCAAAGCUAAGCAAACGCACACAGAUGUGGCGACGGGUCAGAUCCACGCCGAGCUGCAGGACGGUGUCGCUGCUCUGGAACAACUCAUCACAGAGCUGCAGGAGCUGAGCGGGAAGCUGCGUGACCAAUCACAGUGACCGUCAGCUGAAGGCUCGCCAGCAGGAAAGACUCAUCACAGACAGACACUCAGCUGCAGUCAUCAGCCUGUAUGAGUUUCUCAUGUGACAACUGAGAAUAACAAUAGAUCAAAUUAGAAAUGAAAAGCCAAAGGUCUCAUUUUGUAAUUGUGAUGUUUUUAUACCUCUAUAUCCACAUUGGAAUGUAAACAAUGACUGUAAGGCAUCAAAUAGUAAAAUAUUUAAAAUUG